UUUCCGUAGGUGAACCUGCGGAAGGAUCAUUCAUAAUAAAGUGUUUUAUGGCACUUUUUAAAAAUCCAUAUCCACCUUGUGUGCAAUGUUAGAUCUCGUUAAUCUUGGCGAGAUUUUUAUACAUCAACUCAUUCUUUAACUAAUUUGUCUGAAAAAUAUUAUGAAUACUUAAUUCAAAAUACAACUUUCAACAACGGAUCUCUUGGCUCUCGCAUCGAUGAAGAACGCGGC
rnacentral:misc_RNA from 1 species